GAUUAAAACUGAUCUGUCGCAACAAGCAUCCCUCACACUUUUUACUCCGGUGACCCCUCGGUCCCGUAAGCGGGGCCACUAACCCUGACUAACCCCGAGACUGAGGAUCGGGUCAAUGGCCAGCCUGAGUCGUUUGAGAGUCCUCCUUGUGUCUCGAUAAUGGCGUGGACGCGUCUGGGUCGUUGUGACGCGUGCAUGGGAAAUCCAGGAGGCGUUCCGAGUCGAGAUAUGACAUCAAUGCCGCUUGAGUGCGAAAAACCAGCCCUUUUCGGAGGGUAUGAGUCUGGGAGUAGUCAGGUACAUUGUCGGUCAACAUACGUACACGACCCGGUGGCGGGUGGCUCGUUUGUAUGUGGAGACGGAGGGUGGUCAAUGUGUGCUGUCAUGUAAUUCCAUUGUCUUCGUUCCGGCGGUUCUGUGCCAUACAGUUACAUUCUCUUUUCAGAGAUAAACGUCUGAGAGCUCUAAGACUGGGCUUCUGGCAGCGCACAAGCAUCCCUUCUGUCUUCCAACGACCUCCAGAUGUUGUUACGACAUCAAAUCCACCGCGUGAUCGACGUGCCACCUCCCUAGCUGGCGUUGGAGCCUUUCUCGAUACUCACCCAGUCGCCCUGGGCAGACGAGUCUGCCUUUUUGUUCCGCGUGAAGCCGAAACCGAUCCGGAAAACACACAAGGAGGGAUGUUCGGACACAUUCUGGCCUGUGGAGCUGCUUGAGACGCCGACGGAGCAACCCCGUUGCUCAAUGUGCUGGACGCUUGUCUUGACGGACAACGGCUGACACAUGUCUGAGGCCGACUAUAAGUGCUCCGUCACAGGCCAGGCUUGAAACACAUGAUGCGGAUCUUGAAUGAGCGUCCAGAGUUGUACACAUGGUGUGCGACUCUGGUGGUGUACCCUGUAUUUAGAUGUGCAAGUAGACCCACUGACCUUCCGGAGAGUUACAGUAUGUACUCUAGGGAGAGGCUUAGCAUCGGAAAACCGAGAUAAGUGAGUUCGCAGCCGCUCUCUAAUUACACCCAGUGUGCAAGUACAUACUGUACCUACUGGUAGGAUUGUUACCGAUCCCCACUCGUAGACUGUACAGAGAACAGUGGAUUGAUAUCGUGCUAUCAGACUGUCAGAGUCGUUACUCCGUCGAUACAGUGCAUUAUCUAGCAGCCGACAUUAUCACAAGCAAAUAAUUAUGCAACUGCUCCGUUCGAAAGCUCUAAUAGCUGCUAAAUCUACUGUCCAAAAGUUAUCUUAUUGUCCCAUAUCAGCAAGAUAAGAGGAACUGGACUGAUCAGGGAGUCCUAGCCGGACACACGAAUGGUCUCAUUAAAUGCCACCGAGCAGCCAGAGUUUGUGAUGGCUGAAUCAUAGUGAUGGAUGUGUUUUACUACAGGAACUAAUUGUGCUACCUUGGCACAGCCCGUGAUUGAUCUUCAAGAUAUGUACUGUAUGA
rnacentral:telomerase_RNA from 1 species